rnacentral:ncRNA from 1 species
GAUAAUAGGUUGAUCUUCCCCAAGAGUUCACAUCGACGGGAAGGUUUGGCACCUCGAUGUCGGCUCUUCGUCACUUGGAGCUGUAGUAUGUUUCAAGAGUUGGGCUGUUCGUCCAUUAAAGCGGAUUAGGAAUAGGCGUAAUCGGACCUGCUU